rnacentral:rRNA from 1 species
AACGAACGCUGGCGGCAUGCCUAACACAUGCAAGUCGAACGAGACCUUCGGGUCUAGUGGCGCACGGGUGCGUAACGCGUGGGAACCUGCCCUUAGGUUCGGAAUAACUCACCGAAAGGGGUGCUAAUACCGGAUAAUGUCUUCGGACCAAAGAUUUAUCGCCUUUGGAUGGGCCCGCGUUGGUUUAGGCAGUUGGUAGGGUAAAAGCCUACCAAGGCGACGAUCCAUAGCUGGUCUGAGAGGAUGAUCAGCCACACUGGGACUGCGACACGGCCCAGACUCCUACGGGAGGCAGCAGUGGGGAAUAUUGGACAAGGGGCGAAAGCCUGAUCCAGCAAUGCCGCGUGAGUGAUGAAGGCCUUAGGGUUGUAAAGCUCUUUUACCCGGGAUGAUAAUGACAGUACCGGGAGAAUAAGCUCCGGCUAACUCCGUG